AAAGUACUCCCUCCGUCCGGAUAUACUUGUCAUCAAAAUGGAUAAAAGGGGGUAUAUCUAGAUGUAUUUUAGUUCUAAAUACAUCUUCUUUUAUCCAUUUUGGUGACAAGUAUUUUCGGACGGAGGGAGUACCAA
rnacentral:pre_miRNA from 1 species